AUUGUUCUAGGCUUUGGGGAUAUGGGAAUGAAGAGAACAAAAAAAUCUCAGCCCUCAUGGAGCUUGCAUUCAGUGGGGCCAACAGAUAAUAGGCAAGCUAAGGGAACAGAAUGAGUUAGAAAGAGUAGAAUUAAGGAGAAAAAAAUAAAAGAGCAAGGGAAGAGGGUGUGUAUUGAACUUUUAGGGACAGUGGACCUCACCAGGAAACCUCACCAGUAAGAGGGUCAUUUGAGCCCCUCACCCGAAGGGAAGAAGGUGUGAGUGCACCUCGGGAAAGAGCUGGUACAAGUGUCUGCAGACAGGACUGGCCUGGAGGAACUUACUCAACAGUGGGAAACAGUCUGCUCUUCCUGCAGACACACACCCAGAGAGGCAACCCAUUUUCUACUUGGCAUCAUUCUUAGAUAGGUCAAGGUCAUGCUGAUGGUGAGAAGAUCCCAUGGAGUGUCAAUACACUGGGAGCUGUGCCUCUGUAUGGGCCAGGCACUGGGAAUGACUGAAGGAGACAAAUCCUGCUGUGAUCCCACAUAUGCCUGGACCAGUGGUUCUCAAAGUGUGCUCCCAGGACAAGCAGCACCAGGAACUUUCUAGAAAUGCACAUUCUCAAGCCCCACUCAGACCUACUAAGUCAGAAAACUCAAGACCAAAAUGGAGUUUUGUUUUUCUCCUGACAGCAGAUGCCACAGAUUGGGCAGACCCAGGAGGCUCUUCUUUACCUGGGCGUGUGGUGAGAACUCAAGUCCGAAGCCUAUGUCUGAGCAGCCUAUCUGUACUUCAUUGAGCCUCUGUUUUCACAUCUAUAAAAUAGGGAUAACAACUACCUCAUUGCACUGAAGUGGAGGCUAAACGAGCUUCAAACAAAAAGAUCAAAGUCUGGUUAACUUCCAAGCACUGUGAAAUGCUAGCUCCUAGUACUGACAGGCAAAAGAUGUGUCUUUCUUUCUCCCAUUGGGAGUUGCCCUGACUGCGAAUCCCCCCGUAUAUGAUAGUGCUCAAGAACAUUUCCAAUAUGGUAUAGAAUGUAGUACUUGUAGCCAAAAUAGAGCACGCUUUACACUGUAAAACCACAAAUACAAGUAAAUUUGAGAGCAAGAUGAUUCAGGAGGCGAAGGGAUGAGCAAACAGUUAAAGAUCAUUCCCUCCGUUUAAUACAUAGAUGGUGUCAAAGAAGCAAAACAGCCUGUUCCAUUCUGGAAGGGCCAGUUUUUCUUUAGCUCAACAAGAGCAUGUAGUUAGGAGCACAACCAACCAAUGAAGCAAUCCACAAACAAAACAAAAACGCCAUUUAGAUGGCUGUUACCUGCUACGCAGCUGUGGUUGUCUUCUGUUCCUGAAAGCUUUUUUCUGGCCCUUUUCAUAAAGCUCAUGUCACAUGAGCUCACCCCACAUCUUCCGUCCAUUUCCUGGCCACAGCCAAGUCCAGGCACUGAGCUCAGAGUGAGACGUGGCCACAAAUUGUGGGAUCCAUUCUCUGGAGAAGACAAUCUAAUGACUGUUUUUUUUUUUUUUUUUUUUUUUUAUGUGGAGUUUCGCUCUGUAGCCCAGGUUGGAGUUCAGUGGUGCGAUCUCGGCUCACCGUAACUUCCGCCUCCCGGGUUCAAGCGAUUCUCCUGCCUCAGCUUCCUGAGUAGCUGGGAUUACAGGUGCACACCACCAUGCCUGGCUAAUUUUUUUGUAUUUUUAUUAGAGAUGGGGUUUUGCCAUGUUGGCCAGGCUGGUCUCAAACUCCUGACCUCGGGUGAUCCACCCACCUCGGCCUCCCAAAGUGCUGGGAUUACAGGCGUGAGCCACCAUGCCGGCCACAACUUUUAUCAUUCAUUCCAUAACUAGCUUGCUGAGCUUUUCCAAAAACAACUUAGCCAUUCUUAGUUCACAGCCAGUUCUACAUAUUCCUAGUCCCUUGAGAAGCAUAAGCCCAACAUGAAUUCCCUCUUCUCUUCCCAAGUGAGAGCGAGGUCCUCUUACAGUAUGAGGGGGCAGGGGACCACAGUGUGGGGAAUGGACAUUGCUUGGACAAGCUGCUGACCAAAAAUUCUAGGGCCAUCUUCAGGAAAAUCUUCAGGUCUUUCCCCAGUUAUGCCCAACAAUAAAAACUUUCAAUCACCACACACAGAAUUUAUGUGCAACCAAGUAGCACGCCUGGUAGGCCAGGGCGGUGGCAUUUGUACUCGCAGGUGACCGGCCUCAUGUUCAGUGCCGUGGCAGGCCUGCUGUGGAUGCAAGGAGGUCAUCUCAUUUUAGGGGCUUUUUACUCCAUGCUGCCUGGAGCGGGGCUGGCCAGGAGCCACCAUUUGUUUAGUGAAACCCUGCUGGGGACCAGAAGCCUGGCAGACAUUCUCUCACUGACACCUCUGGGAGCCAAUUAUGACUCCUAUUUUAGAGAUGAGGAAGCUGAGUGCAGGCAGCUUGGGUUCCUUGCCGGGACCCUGCAGUUCCUGCGUGGAGACUGAAAGCACAGAUCUGACUAGAAGGCCUGUGUUCUUCCCACUCAACCACACCGUCUCGAGGGCUAUCAGGAGCUGCCCCAGGGCAGGGCCUCUGGGCAGCCUCAGGCAUGACCCAGCACAAAUGGCUAUGCCAGCAGCAGUAGUAUCCAUGGGUUGGGAGAGGCAGCUGCUCCGAUGCCUCGGGACUCCCUGGAGCCAGACGUAAACAGAAGGAACACCCAAGGUUCUACACUUCCUUCCAGGUGUACCUUAGAGGACUUCCCUAAAGGUCUUUGGUGUAACAGAAGACAAAGGCCCAGUCUUGGGAUUCAUCCAGCUAGCCUGAGGUGAUACCUGGGCCAGAUCGUGCACACCUGAGGAGGGCUGCAAGCCUGUUGAGACCCUAAUGAGCUGCAGGCAGGGGAAAUAGGCGCCCCGCCUCAAAAGCCUCGUGACUCCUCCUCAUGGUGUGAUGGGAGAGGGAGCUGGGCCUGAGUCAGCCCACUCUGCCUGCCCAGCGGUGCACAGGGACACAGCUCUGACCACACAGGCUCAAACGAUAGAACAGAACCGAGGCUGAAGCUAAUGGGGCAAUCCAUCCUCACGUCCACUCCAGAAACAGAAAGUGACUGCCUUAUAACUGGACGCUGAGCCAGUGGGCCAACCAGACGGACCACAGAAAGCUAAGAAAACCACCAGGCCAGGAGCAAAUGACCAGAAAGAUCCUUAGUAGGCCAUUUCCAUUGUUAAUAGCAAACACCUGGGCCCCAGAAUGCAGCCAUCUGCAGCACAUUAUAAUUCAUGGUCUUAACUUGUGAACUUUGACCUCUGCUCCUCCUCCCUGAAACCAAUUUAAGUGCAAAUAUAAUUUCCCAGAAUUUUUAAUAAAGUCACCAACUGAGCUCUGGUCAGUUGAGACAUGUACAGGAAGCUUCUGGACGUUACCAGAAAGUGGACUUUUCACUUCUGAGCUACGAUGGCUAUUUCUUCCUGCACCAAGUCCUGAAAGACCAAGAACCCAGGGGCGGGGGACACAGUGUCCAUAUUAAAAGGACCUCAGCCCAUCAGAGGCCAUGUAUCAGACGAGCUACUCAGCUUCAUUGCAAGAAAUGACUGCUGAAUUUGUGUGGGGGUUGUUGGAGGAGCAGACUCUCGUAGACAUGGACAGAUGCAGUGGUUAAUAAUGGACAGUGGGCAUGUCUGAAAUGGUACCACCCUUUCUUCCUAGCCCAGUAGACAGACCUGCACAGAAUACGCUAGUUCUUUCUGCUGACUUAGCAAGCCUGUAACAGGAUAGAGGCUUCUAAUCAAACAUGAUAGAAAAAGCAGUCACGGUAGAUAUCUACAAGCCUGCCACCAGGGCUGAAGUCUACAUGUGCCCAGUUCUUGCCCCACUGAGCAACUGACACUGAAGUUACCACCAGGGCAAUGUGGAACUCAAGAAUGGGAAAGAGCUGUCCCUCUCAACCCUCCCCAUCCCCAAGCCUGCGAGCCAAAGGCUCACAGGUACCCAGUGAAAGGCCAAAGAAUGGAUCAGGAGCCUGAGGCUGCAGGCUGAGAUCCAGAAUGACCCUGACCACCUGUGGGCCCUCUGGCCUUCCUGAGCCUCAGUGUGCUCACCUGUAAAAUGGAGACGAUUGUACCUGUUCUUUAUUUUUAGGGCUGUGACAAUGAAAGGAGAUGCCAAAGAUCUUUGUAAACUGGAGAAUGGUUCUACAAAGUCUUAUGCUCACAACUGCUUUUAGAUUUGAUAUUUUUGAUCUCUCUCUUCCCACUUUAGCUAAAUUAAGCAAAGACUUUCAGGGGAAGGCCCUGCUGGAAAGACUCUACUGUUUGAAAGCAAAUUGUUUCCCUCACCCAGGUCUCCAUGGAUUAUGUACAGAAAAGCAGUGGACUCUGCCUCCUAUUUAUCUGGGUUUUCUCUGCUCUAUUUUGUUUUUAUUUUCUUCUAUUUAUUGUAUUGUGUGUAUCAUUGCAAACUAUUGUAAAUCCAUUGUAGAAUGAUGUGGAAUAAACAAAAAAUGAAAAUGC
rnacentral:lncRNA from 1 species